UUUCCCCUACGGGGGGCAGCAGUAGGGAAUAUUGCUCAAUGGGGGAAACCCUGAAGCAGCAACGCCGCGUGGAGGAUGAAGGUUUUCGGAUUGUAAACUCCUUUUGUUAGAGAAGAUAAUGACGGUAUCUAACGAAUAAGCACCGGCUAACUCCGUGCCAGCAGCCGCGGUAAUACGGAGGGUGCGAGCGUUAUCCGGAUUUAUUGGGUUUAAAGGGUGCGUAGGCGGAAUGCCAAGUCAGCGGUAAAAUCGCGGGGAUCAACCUAGCUCCGCCGUUGAAACUGGCGUUCGUGAGUGGGGGAGAG
rnacentral:rRNA from 1 species